ensembl:lncRNA
AUGCAACAAGUGAAAAUAACUGUCCCCACAUCAUCCCAACACGUCCAGGAAGAGGAAGAUCGAUGCAGAAGGAAGGUGUUUCAACAAAGAUGGAACAUGUUGAUGCUUCAAGGAGAAAAAGCGUUGGGUUCACCUGAAGUCUGCCUGGGCAGUGGAGUCCGCCUGAGCUCAUUACUGAACCGACCAGACGGAGUUUUACAUGAACGGGAGAGAACACGGUUCAGGCUUCACAAUCAGCUCAGCACCUUGGGUGAGAGAUUUUUUCAACUUGCUCACAGAAAAGUGAGUUCAUUCACUCAAGCAAAAAGGCAACUCUAAUGAGUUGAAUGAGAAUUUUAUACUUUUAUUUUUUACAUGAAGAUGUUUUCUUUAUGUACAACUUGCAUGUGAUAAAUCCCAUCAGUGUGUAGAGUCUAAUAAUCUGUGAAUGGCUAAUCUGCCCCCAUUUGGUGUGGGAUUUUCCACUGGCCGAGGAUGAGUCAGGGUUAGCUUUUUGUGAAAUCUGCUAAACCGUUAAAAAUGAAGCACAAAUCAUCUUUAGGGAUUAAAGUCUGCUGUCCACAUCACUGCUGAGGUUUCUUUUAUGUCCUCUAAAAGUCAGCUGCUCCUUAAAAUAGUGAGAAAUUAAUUAAGUCUUUUUUUUAUUAAUGUGUGCAAAAGUCCCGGAGAUAUAAUAUGGGUUUAAAAGCAGAAGACUAUGUAUUUCUUUUUGAUUUUUCAGUGUACAAUUAUAUAUGUCAGAUCUCUGGGGCCCCCUGCUAGCAAGGAGACCCCAAGCCUGUUCUGCCCAUCGCCUCCAAACCCCCCUUUAUUCUGAAAAUCUCGGGAGCUUCUCUCCAUUUCCGCGUUCGAUUUCCUGUCUUUCCUUCCCCAAAAAUGUCGAACUUGACCUGUUUGAGAGGCGUCGUAAAGGCCGCGACAUGCUGCUCCUGAGACGCGGCCGACUCGCGCUGCUGACGGCUCCAGUGGAAAAGGUUCUGUUGACCACAGCGGUUCCUAUGAGCAGUUAUGACGUGCUGCUGCAGUAACGUGCUGCUGACGGCUCCUGUGGAAAGCCGGGGUUAGUUGUAGCGUUUGUGCGUUCUUUUUGGAUAUUUUUUGUGCAAUUGUUGGACAAAAUGACUUGCUGUGGCAUUAAUUGCACUAAUAGAGCGUCCAAGGAGUCUCCACUUCAUUUUUUUUUUUUGGUAAGUAAAAUUAUAUUUAUGUAUUUUAGGUCACUGCCGAGCUGAGCUUAGAUUUUAACAUGUACUGUUUAACCAUGAAAUUUAAAUGUAAUAGAGUAAAACCCAGUGCAUUUAACAUAAUGCUGCACUUUAGAAAAUGGGUUGAAAUAUAACAUGUUGGUGGAGCUGGGUUCCCACUAUCGGUAUGGUCCCCUCCCGGCCCUCAGCAGCUAUUCGGCGCAUCCCUGACCACAGCGCCGCCUGUCUGCAGAAUCUCUGACUCAGAAGCUCUGGUGUUGUGCACAGUUAACUCCGGUUGUAGCUAGGUUGCUACCUCCGUUAGCUUAGCUCCCACCUCAGCAUUAGCUUUGGGUUAGCUUCAGGUUAGCUUGUAGCUAGUUCGACCGGGUGUCGUCAGUUGAUCCCAGCCUUACAGCCCCACCCUCAGCUACACCUCUCUUCCCUUUUGUGGAAUUGUCUGGGCUUGACGGAACCGGUGGUGGCCUCCUCCCAUUUUGGCUUAAAAACUUAUUAUUGGAGCAUAUGGAAACCCAUUGUCCAUAUGUAUAUAUGUCGAUGGUCAGCACGCAGCAGCUCUGCAGAAAAUUCCUUUUAUUUUGAUUUUUUGUGGCAGAGAACAGUUUGAGUCCCAGCUGCUUUAGUGACACUUUUCCAAACAUUAUAAUUUUUUGAAAAUGAACACCCAAAAUCUACUUUACGAUUUUGAUGAAUUGUGUUUUUUGGGACAAUUCUUAUAUGUGUGUUUCUAUUUAUAAAACAAUGAAAAGGUUUAGAAAUUGUCUCAGCUACAAAAGAGUUCUCCAAUAGUCAUUCCUACUUUUAAAGUGAUGAAAAAUAAACAAACUAAAUGAACAAAUCUGAUUUGCUCACAUGUAGGAUUUUAUUUAUUUUUUCUAUUUGAGGUUAUUGCCAGUUUCAUAAUGUGCGGUUCCUAAUAAGCCCUCAUUUCAAUCCAUGCAGCUUCUGGGUGGUCUGCUAUUUACACCGACUGCGGAUCGUGUGCAGAAUGUCUGCAGAAAGUGGUGAUUUCAUGCAAUAACAGUAGUGUUUGUAGAUAAUAGCUGGUACACAAAAGCCACACUCUUCUUCAGGACCGAUCAUCCACUGUGAGCUGAUAUUCUUGUCAUUAAUGACAACAUAGGUUUUAUUUUGAAAUAACCCAGAUGCACCUCGCUGGCACACGUCUCACUUCCUGUCUGGUUCAUGUGAUUUCUUCAACUCAAAGUUAGAGACCAAGUAUAAAUGUUCAGCAGGUCCGCCCCCAGAAUCGCACCGCCACACAGCCGUUGUGAGUGCUCUGAUUGGACAGUUGUUUUCAGUCUUUCCUGAAGCUACACGGAUUACGAUCCGCUUCUGUUUUGCACUCGGUGUAAAUGAAAUGCAAUUCAACCAAAGCGUAUACGCAUUUGGUGAGUUGCUGAAUGGUUUACGUCUCAUUUUUCUGUUGGACCACAGCCGUCUCAAACAUGAAGCACGCACUUCAAAAAUUAUUUUAUCAAAAUGCUUCAAGUGGAAGAGAAACCAGCCUUUGUUUGUUUUUUCAACCGCACAUGUAGCUUAGUUUUACUCAACAGCUUUAUAGUAAAAUAUUUCUACAGGCAGUUAAUGUUUCAUUAUUUGAAUCAAUGAUGUAGUAAUUUUAUUUAGAAACAGCCAAAAUGAAGACAGAUGUGAGCACUAAAAGUCUUCAGUGUUGCAUGAUAAAUCAGAGAUCUCCAGUAGCUGUGAUUACAUCUGAAGCCAUAAUGUGAAAUUACUGAAAAGGAAAAAAAAAUCUUUAGCUGUAAACAACGAGCAGCAGCUUGUUGUGGUGAAGCGGUGCAGCAAAACAAUCGGGUCAGUGUGGCCGUAAACAGUUUAACACUGUGGCUCAAAGUGUCUAUUUCUGUGUGUGUGCGUGUGCGUGCGUGUGUGUGUGUGUGUGUGUGUGUGUGUGUGUGCGUGCGUGUGUGUGUGUGUG